rnacentral:rRNA from 1 species
AUUGAACGCUGGCGGCAUGCCUUACACAUGCAAGUCGAACGGUAACAGGUUAAGCUGACGAGUGGCGAACGGGUGAGUAAUGUAUCGGAACGUGCCCAGUCGUGGGGGAUAACUGCUCGAAAGAGCAGCUAAUACCGCAUACGACCUGAGGGUGAAAGCGGGGGAUCGCAAGACCUCGCGCGAUUGGAGCGGCCGAUAUCAGAUUAGGUAGUUGGUGAGGUAAAGGCUCACCAAGCCGACGAUCUGUAGCUGGUCUGAGAGGACGACCAGCCACACUGGGACUGAGACACGGCCCAGACUCCUACGGGAGGCAGCAGUGGGGAAUUUUGGACAAUGGGCGCAAGCCUGAUCCAGCCAUGCCGCGUGCGGGAAGAAGGCCUUCGGGUUGUAAACCGCUUUUGUCGGGGAAGAAAAGGUUCUGGCUAAUACCUGGGACUCAUGACGGUACCUGAAGAAUAAGCACCGGCUAACUACGUG